rnacentral:rRNA from 1 species
UACAGAGGGUGCAAGCGUUAAUCGGAAUUACUGGGCGUAAAGCGUGCGUAGACGGUUAUGUAAGUCAGAUGUGAAAGCCCCGGGCUUAACCUGGGAAUGGCAUUUGAGACUGCAUAGCUAGGGUGCGGAAGAGGGAAGCGGAAUUUCCGGUGUAGCGGUGAAAUGCGUAGAUAUCGAGAGGAACACCGGUGGCGAAGGCGGCCAACUGGACGAAUACUGACGCUGAGACUCGAAAGCGUGGGGAGCAAACAGG